rnacentral:rRNA from 1 species
AGAGUUUGAUCAUGGCUCAGGACGAACGCUGGCGGCGUGCCUAACACAUGCAAGUCGAACGAGAAAGUGGAGCAAUCCAUGAGUAAAGUGGCGACCGGGUGAGUAACACGUGACUAACCUACCUUUGAGUGGGGGAUAACCUCGGGAAACCGAGGCUAAUACCGCAUAACAUCGCAAGAUCAAAGCAGCAAUGCGCUUAA